rnacentral:misc_RNA from 1 species
GAUGAAGAACGUAGCGAAAUGCGAUAAGUAAUGUGAAUUGCAGAAUUCCGUGAAUCACCGAAUCUUUGAACGCAUAUUGCGCCCCUUGGUAUUCCAUGGGGCAUGCCUGUUCGAGCGUCAUUUGUACCUUCAAGCUUUGCUUGGUGUUGGGUGUUUGUCCUGAGGGACUCGCCUUAAAGUAAUUGGCAGCCAGUGUUUGGUUUUGAAGCGCAGCACAAGUCGCGAUUCAAGGCUAUACACCAGCUUCCACAAGCCCUUUUCACUUUUGACCUCGGAUCAGGUAGGGAUACCCGCUGAACUUAAGCAUAUCAAUAAGCGGAGGA